UAAUACAUGCGCAAAUAUCCCUUUUUGAAAGAAGAGGGAUAGUGUUUAUUAGAUACAGAACCAAUACACCACUUUUACGGGUGGUGUGAAAAAGGUGAUUCAUAGUAACCGAACGGAUCGCAUUAUGGUCAUUUUUAUUAAUGGCUGGCGAUAGAUCAUUCAAGUUUCUGACCUAUCAGCUUUCGACGGUAGUGUAUUGGACUACCGUGGCAGUGACGGGUAACGGGGAAUUAGGGUUCGAUUCCGGAGAGGGAGCCUGAGAAACGGCUACCACAUCUAAGGAAGGCAGCAGGCGCGCAAAUUACCCAAUCCUGACUCAGGGAGGUAGUGACAAGAAAUAACAACACUGGAAAUUUUAUUUCUAGUGAUUGGAAUGAUGGGAAUUUAAACCCCUUUCAGAGUAACAAUUGGAGGGCAAGUCUGGUGCCAGCAGCCGCGGUAAUUCCAGCUCCAAUAGCGUAUAUUAAAGUUGUUGCAGUUAAAAAGCUCGUAGUUGGAUGUCUGCUGGAAGCAAUCAGUCCGCCCUAUUUGUAGGGUGUGCACAUGAUGAAUUCUGGCAUCUAUGUCCCAAUAAUAUAACGGAAGCUAUUGGACGAAAGUUCAAUAGUAUAUUUCCGAUUAUUGGGAUACUGUUACUUUGAGAAAAUUAGAGUGUUUGAAGCAGGCUAAUUGCCUUGAAUACUGCAGCAUGGAAUAACAAUAUAGGAUUUCGGUUCUAUUUUGUUGGUUUUUAGGACUGAAAUAAUGAUUAAUAGGGACAGUUGGGGGCAUUCGUAUUUAACUGUCAGAGGUGAAAUUCUUAGAUUUGUUAAAGACGAACUACUGCG
rnacentral:rRNA from 1 species